rnacentral:rRNA from 1 species
UAGGGAAUCUUGCGCAAUGGGCGAAAGCCUGACGCAGCCAUGCCGCGUGAAUGAUGAAGGUCUUAGGAUUGUAAAAUUCUUUCACCGGGGAAGAUAAUGACGGUACCCGGAGAAGAAGCCCCGGCUAACUUCGUGCCAGCAGCCGCGGUAAUACGAAGGGGGCUAGCGUUGCUCGGAAUUACUGGGCGUAAAGGGCGCGUAGGCGGACAUUUAAGUCAGGGGUGAAAGCCCGGGGCUCAACCUCGGAAUUGCCUUUGAUACUGGAUGUCUUGAGUUCGGGAGAGGUGAGUGGAAUGCCGAGUGUAGAGGUGAAAUUCGUAGAUAUUCGGCGGAACACCAGUGGCGAAGGCGACUCACUGGCCCGAUACUGACGCUGAGGCGCGAAAGCGUGGGGAGCAAACAGGAUUAGAUACCCUGGUAGUCCACGCCGUAAACGAUGAGUGCUAGUUGUCGGCAUGCAUGCAUGUCGGUGACGCAGCUAACGCAUUAAGCACUCCGCCUGGGGAGUCGGCCGCAAGAUUAAAACUCAAAGGAAUUGACGGGGUCAUAGCUGUUUCCUG